rnacentral:rRNA from 1 species
UACGAAGGGGGCUAGCGUUGCUCGGAAUCACUGGGCGUAAAGGGUGCGUAGGCGGGUCUUUAAGUCAGGGGUGAAAUCCUGGAGCUCAACUCCAGAACUGCCUUUGAUACUGAAGAUCUUGAGUUCGGGAGAGGUGAGUGGAACUGCGAGUGUAGAGGUGAAAUUCGUAGAUAUUCGCAAGAACACCAGUGGCGAGGGCGGCUCACUGGCCCGAUACUGACGCUGAUGCACGAAAGCGUGGGGGAGCAAACAGGA